UAUUUUAUAUAAAAUAAGAGAUGUAAACUAGAAAUAUAAAGUUAAUUAUACAUAUGUUCGGUUAUCUUCGGAUAUCUAUUCGGGGUCGGAUACUACCCGUUCGGAUUCGGAUAUCCAAUCUCUUCUAAUUCAAUACCCGUUCGGAUAUUUUGCUACUUCGGUUCGGAUUUCGGUUUGGUUUUUCGGAUCGGGUUCGGAUGCGGCUUCGGAUAUCGGGUAAAAUGCCUACCCUAAAGUAAAUGAUGAAAUCUUAAAAAUACUAAAAUAUCUUCAACAUUAAGGUGUACACGUCCGAUUAAAUAAUCCACCGAUCAAAAUACAUUUCAGUGCCACCUCCCUUAUGAAUUACCAUAUCAAUUUUAUAUCAGUACUAAUCAAGAGAUUUGCGCUUCUCCGGAAACGAUUAAUGAUAAAGACCUUUUUGCCUUUCUUCUUCCAAAACGAACAACUUCCAGGCUUAUAACUCUUAUUUUUGCUUUGGCACUUUCCAAACUUUUUUUUUUGUUUCAGAUUUCUAAUUAUAACAUUGAUUCUUGAAAUCACCUCCUUUGGUAAAAAAAGAAAGAAUUGAUGGUUGAUGAGUCUCACAGAGUAAUCGUUACUUUAUGUUUCUCCAGAUUUUUCUUGCUGAUGAGUGAUGGUCGUGUAAUUCAUAUUCAUGUCCUCAUAAUCAGCUUUGCAUCCACAAGAAUCUUCCUUCGAAUAAUCUGAGAGCAACCGAUGCAUAUAUUUUGAGGAUUUUCCCCAAAUCUUAUUUAUCUUCUACCCGUUGGUAGAGUAGGAGAAUCUCAUGUUUGUUAUCUGAAUUAGGAGACCAAAGCAGAGGAAGAACUUGAACGGAAGAAAAGAAGGAUGUCAAGGUUUUUCAGGAGGUUAAAGAGGAAGAUCUUGAGGAUUUUUUUAUCAGACAUGCGUAUUUGGAUCCAUGGAAAAUCAGCAGAUGUUUUGUAAAGAUGUUACAAGACACUAGAACUAACUGAUUCCAUACAGACAAGAACAAGACAUAAUGAGAAACAACAUAAAUAAACUUUCAAUUCUUAAACAAAAGACAGAGCAAAGUACAAGGCUACUGGCCUGCAAGAAACUGGACGAAAAAGUAUGACAUGGGCUAACAAACAAAACAUUUGUUUGCUUCAGCAACAAGUUAUUUUUUUAAGCCGUACUCUUGU